rnacentral:rRNA from 1 species
AAACGUAGGGGGCGAGCGUUGUCCGGAAUUACUGGGCGUAAAGGGUGCGUAGGCGGCCGCUUAAGUCCUGUGUGAAAGGCCCCGGCUUAACCGGGGAGGGUCAUGGGAAACUGGGCGGCUUGAGUGCCGGAGAGGGUGGCGGAAUUCCCGGUGUAGCGGUGAAAUGCGUAGAGAUCGGGAGGAACACCAGUGGCGAAGGCGGCCACCUGGACGGCAACUGACGCUGAGGCACGACAGCUGGGGGAGCAAACAGGAUUAGAUACCCUGGUAGUCCCAGCCGUAAACGAUGAGUGCUAGGUGUUGCGGGUAUCGACCCCUGCAGUGCCGUAGUUAACGCAAUAAGCACUCCGCCUGGGGAGUACGGCCGCAAGGCUGAA